rnacentral:rRNA from 1 species
CCCUUAGAUGUUCUGGGCCGCACGCGCGCUACACUGACGAAUGCAACGAGCUUAUAACCUUGGCCGAAAGGUCUGGGUAAUCUCCAAAUUUCGUCGUGAUGGGGAUAGAUUAUUGCAAUUAUUAAUCUUCAACGAGGAAUGCCUAGUAAGCGCAAGUCAUCAGCUUUCGUUGAUUACGUCCCUGCCCUUUGUACACACCGCCCGUCGCUCCUACCGAUUGAAUGGUCCGGUGAAGCGCUCGGACCGCGGCCUCUUGACGGUUUUCCGUCGAUUGGCUGUGGGAAGUUCGUUAAACCUUAUCAUUUAGAGGAAGGAGAAGUCGUAACA